AAGUCGUAACAAGGUUUCCGUAGGGUAAGUCGAGCCCCCCAUAUACCCCUAAACUUUUGAGAGAACAAAUGCUAACGUCCCCUAUAGUGAACCUGCGGAAGGAUCAUUAAUGAGAACUAUGGGGAGCGUGGGGCGGGUCAAACCCCUCGCGUCUCUCCUAAUCUCCCAAAACCCCCUGUCUACCGACCUCACACACACAUAAAGUACGCAAUAAAAAGUCGUCCUUAGCGGGGCGCACUACAAUAAAUGUACAAAAAACAAAACUUUCAACAACGGAUCUCUUGGUUCUG
rnacentral:misc_RNA from 1 species